UAUGAGGGCUUGCUCUCAUAGUUAGUGGCGAACGGGUGAGUAACGCGUGGGAAUCUGCCCUGGAGUGGGGGAUAACAGCUGGAAACGGCUGCUAAUACCGCAUACGCCCUUCGGGGGAAAGAUUUAUCGCUAUUUGAGGGUCCUGCGUUCGAUUAGCUUGUUGGCGGGGUAAUGGCCUACCAAGGCGACGAUCUAUAGCUGUUCUGAGAGGAAGAUCAGCCACACUGGGACUGAGACACGGCCCAGACUCC
rnacentral:rRNA from 1 species